UGAUGUAAGAAGGGCUAUAUAAAAUAAAAUUGAUUGAUUGAUUGAUUGAUAGAGGAACACUUGACCCUUCUCAGUGAGACAGUCUGGAGUCACACCAUCGUGCUGUUCACCCAUGGGGACUUUUUAGGAGACACAACCAUUGAGCAGCAUAUUGAGAGUGAAGGGAAGGCCUUCCAGUGGCUUGUUGAGAAAUGUGGGAAACAGAUUUCAUGUCCUCAACAAUAACAACAGGGGUGAUGUCACUCAGGUCACAUAGCUUCUGGAGAAGAUAGAUGAGUUGGUGGCAGCCAACAGUGGAGAUGUGUUUUACCCUGAAAGAGAUGGUGAUGAAGGAAUGAAUUGGAUACCUGAGAUGUGGGAGAAACCAUAUCUAGUUAAGGGAGAUCACAUCCGUGACCCUCCUGUUCCAUGCAGCUCCAGUGCUCCCAUGCAGGUCUGUUCCAGUGCAGUUUGGCAGGGCUGGUGUUUCUGAUGGAGGGGGAGGUGCUGUACAGAACUGUCCAAUGGGACGAGAGUCUCCUGCACUCCACAGGCCAGACUCCUGCAGGACCCCUAUUCAGUAUUGAGUGUCCUCAGGGGUCUGUCACCUACACCUCCCACACUGUGAGAUUCUCUCUGGAGAGGGUCUUGAUUCCCUGUCUGUGGCCCAUGUUACUGGUGACAGUGUGGAGGUUUUACCACUACUGAGGGUGACUGACACGCACGUAGUGGUGAACAUCACAGACCUCUCCUUUUGGGGCCUCGUCAGAAUGUUUAUACCCUUCCUCUCGAUCAAGGGACAGGUGUUGCCUUUCCUCCAAUCAUUCGGUCACCCUCAGUCAGUUCUGAAUGUGAUCGUCCUGCCAUCGAAUGUGCCCCUCAAUGAGGUGGAAGAGAAACAGAGAGCAAGCACUUACAUACCGGUCUGUUCGGACUGCACUCUCACUCGAGGAGAAACAUACAAUCUGUCCUGUGAUCUGAGGAAGAUACAGGACAUCUACCCUAAAGCUAAGGUAGACUCUGACUGAUGUUGUUUACUGAUGAUGUCACAUAUUGAUGAUGAUGUCACAUAGUGCCAGAUGUACACUGAUACUAAACAUUGUACAUUCCAUGAUAAUAAUAACCUCACUUUGCUGAGGGGCCACUUAACCUGUAAGUUGAAUAGAAACACACCAGAGCAACGGAUGGCCGAGUGCCUUUGACUAGAAUAUCAACCUCCAUUUUCAGUUAAUUAUCAGACUAUUCUACUUGUUGAAUCGACGUAAACAGCCACCAUUCAUCGACACCCAGCAGGUGGUUGUUUUAACACAGCAGCGACACCAAGCGAUAGGACAGCCACACACUGCUUUUAGCUGUUCAUCGUUGUGGUGUGUCUGAGUUACAAGGAAAAUGUUUAUUAACAGCACAAAUACAAAACCCUUCUGGUUGAACUGGACCCCGUCUUUUGUACAACGAUUGGCUUCCACUGAAACAUGUUGGAGUAUGAUUGAUGAGCAUGGCCAAUGAUGUCUGUAUUCAAUGAUACAAUUGGUCUGUAGGUUGCAUAUUGAGCAAAAUCUAUUGCCAAUAGACCUUAUUAACACUGCGGUCAUUAUUAAUUUACCAACGUUAAUUUUACAACGUUAAAAUGUUCUAACGGGGUAAGAUGUGAAGUGCUCUGUUGAAACCAAUGCAAAAACCUUUGUAAAGCGUGACCUGUAGAUUUAAAAAAAUGUUCACACCUACGCACUAAAAUUAUAUUAUUUGAUUUGGGAUACUGAGAAGAACAAUGCUAUCACAUUGUCAUUGUCAUGUGUGCUGAUAUUAACUGACACAACAAUGUAUUAUAUACCUGCACUAGCUGUCUAUGUUAGAACAUUAAGCUGUGAAUAAGGUCUAUACCGUAGUCACAUCAUAUUCUGUUUGACAUGAUAAUCACCUCAAUGAUUAGUUAUGAUGCGAUUGAUGUUU